rnacentral:rRNA from 1 species
CCCUAUGGGGUGCAGCAGGCGAGAAAACUUUGCAAUGUGCGAAAGCACGACAAGGUUAAUCCGAGUGGUUCCUGCUAAAGGAAUCUUUUGUCAGUCCUAAAAACACUGAUGAAUAAGGGGUGGGCAAGUUCUGGUGUCAGCCGCCGCGGUAAAACCAGCACCUCAAGUGGUCAGGAGGAUUAUUGGGCCUAAAGCAUCCGUAGCCGGCUGUGUAAGUUUUCGGUUAAAUCCAUACACUCAAUGUAUGGGCUGCCGGGAAUACUGCAUAGCUAGGGAGUGGGAGAGGUAGACGGUACUCGGUAGGAAGUGGUAAAAUGCUUUGAUCUAUUGAUGACCACCUGUGGCGAAGGCGGUCUACCAGAACACGUUCGACGGUGAGGGAUGAAAGCUGGGGGAGCAAACCGGAUUAGAUACCCGGGUAGUCCCAGCUGUAAACUAUGCAAACUCAGUGAUGCACUGGCUUGUGGCCAGUGCAGUGCUGCAGGGAAGCCGUUAAGUUUGCCGCCUGGGAAGUACGUACGCAAGUAUGAAACUUAAAGGAAUUGGCGGGGGAGCACCACAAGGGGUGAAGCCUGCGGUUCAAUUGGAGUCAACGCCAGAAAUCUUACCCGGAGAGACAGCAGAAUGAAGGUCAAGCUGAAGACUUUACCAGACAAGCUGAGAGGUAGUGCAUGGCC